CGGCCGCUGCUAUGACCUGGUCAAUGACUUCUACUGUGUCUGCGAUGAUGGCUGGAAGGGCAAGACCUGCCACUCACGCGAGUUCCAGUGUGACGCCUACACCUGCAGCAACGGUGGCACAUGCUAUGACAGCGGCGACACCUUCCGCUGCGCGUGCCCCCCAGGCUGGAAGGGCAGCACCUGCACGAUCGCCAAGAACAGCAGCUGCGUGCCCAAUCCCUGUGUGAAUGGAGGCACCUGUGUGGGCAGUGGAGACUCUUUCUCCUGCAUCUGCCGGGAUGGCUGGGAGGGCCGCACCUGCACACACAGUGAGCUGGAGGGGCUUCAGGUGGGGGAGGCCUGUGGGUUCUGCUUAACUUCACUUCUUCCGACUUCCUGGAAGACCAACCCCUCCCCCUGCCCACCUCACACAUCCAUACUCUUGAGACCUGCCCUGCUGUUUUCUAAUUCAGCCCCUGUGCAGGAGCUGCAUAUGUCCUUCUACCUCCCCUGAGCCAUCACUCUGCAGCCUGGGGCUCCUGCUAA
rnacentral:lncRNA from 1 species